GGAAAGCCCCUGUAGGAUAUACAAAGGGAGAAAAUUUACUCUCUGAGAUUCAGGCUUAUUUCCACUCUGAACAUCUUCUAUCCUCUAUCCCAUCAAGUUCCAGAACUCCUUCCUCAUGACACUAAAAAAAUUCAAGAUUUGAUAUUGAAUUAAGAUGAUCCAUGAUCUCUGCCAAGGAGAGAGAAAUAGAAAAGUAGAGAGGACUGUGAAUUUGGAAUCAGAGGACAUGGGUUCAAAUCCAAGCUGUCAUUUGCUGUCUGUGUGACAUUGGAUAAGUCACUUAAAUUCUUAAAUCUCAAUUCCUUUUCUGGAAAAUGAGGGAAUUAGACUAGAGAGCUUUUAAAAUCCCCUCCACUUUUAAAUCUAUGCUCUGUUAUACAGUCUGUUUAUUCAGAAUUCCAUCCUUAAGGAUGCUAGCUCUGGCAGUUUUAAAGGAAGGCCAACCUAUGGUCAUGUUUGUCAAUCCUGGAGAUCUCUAAUGUCAGGGAGCAUGAUAUUUUAUGGGGGCAAGGUUAAAGAUAGUGAGAUAUAACCUGAUUUUUGCAUUUCUACAUCCCUUUUCAUCCUCUGAGUCAGAAGCUCCCAGAAGGGGAUGAGAUUAGUGCUUAGAGACUGAGGAAAGGCCAGAGUGGCCAUUGCCUAAAUCCCUAUCUUUUGGGCAUCCUAAAGACUAAUCUGUCUGGCUCUAGAAAGGCUAUUCUGACCUACUAACUCAAAUAAAGAGGAAGAGAAUGUUUCCCUUUUGCCCAAAUGGAUAUAUGAUUUGUGUCCCAUUCACUAGUGCCCUCUCAUAAAAUGAGGGGAAAAUGUUUUCAUAAGGCUGCCAUGGCUCUGAACAAGGCUACAAUAUUUCAGAAUUAAUUCAUCAUCUCCCACCGAGAACAAUCCCAGGAGUAGAGACUGAAGACAGGUAGGAUCUCUUUUGUAUCAUUUUCUUUGAAAGUCAGAACUUAAACUUAUUCUAUCAUAUGAAGUGUUCGGACUUGGGAAUGAAGAAUGCAGAGGAUCAGUAGGAGGAUGGUGAGAUGGGGCAAGGGGGAAUUAAGAUUUGCCAUAUACCUAUUCUGAGGACAAAUUGUAAUAAAAACCUUACUGAUAGAUGAUGCUUAUGACUUGUCAGGGAUAUAUUUGGAGUGGACUAUUCUUUUUUAACCCUAGUUUGGGGAUGGGCUACUCUGACUCAUUCAUAAAAAUUCUUUCUAGUUCCAGCUUUUAUGAGGCCUCUUUUGAACAGGGCAUAGUCAGUAAACAGCCUUGGAAGAGACAGAAGUUAAUCCAUGAGGCCAAGUCUUGGACAUUAUCUCAAAUGGACAAGAGUAUUACUUCCUGGACUAGCCUUUCUUAAACUGCUAGAUGGGGAGGGGGGUGGAAUUGGGAUUCCUUCAGAUGACACUUUUGACACACAAAGGGAAAUCUAGAAUUUUACAGAAUCAUCACUCUGGAUCUGUGGCACUGCCUGAUCUCUCUUCUAGGAGAAAAGAGGGGAUAAUCAUUUAUGUAGAACAUUCUAUGUACCACCCUCUGUGCUAAGUGCUUUACAAAUAUUACUUCAUUUGAGCCUCAGAACAACCCUCAGAGGUGGAUCGUGUUUCCCCCAUUUUACAAUUUAAGAAAAUGAGGCAAACAAGGGUUAAAUGACUUGCCCAGAGUCACACAGCUAACUGUCUCAAGGCUAAGAUUUGAACUUAUAUCUUUCUGACUCAGAAGGCCAGGGCUCAGGUGGAUUCAUCUGGAGCCAAAGAGUUGCUUUAGUUCCAGCAAAGAAUGAACAGCAUGUAUGAUCAAUGAAUAUAACACUGAUCUGAUGUAAGCUGAUGAAUAGCUCUUUUAAAUCCCAGUCCUUCCCAGGCCAUCAGCAAUUCACCAGAACAAAGGGUUUAAUUCCCUUUACUUCCUAUUUAGGCAACCAUGAGUCUGGUUCCCUUAGCUCAGCUCAGGGUAGAACUUAAGAGAAUCAAGAAUUAGGUGAGAAAUAGGAACACAAGGCUCCAUGAAUGUUGGUGUUAAAAUUAGUUUUAACAAUCUUACUUUCCAGAUCCCUCAUUUUAAAAAUAAGAAAAUUGGAUCCCAGAAAAUAUAAGAGGAUUGCCCAAGGUCACAGACCAAUAUAAUGUAGAAGACGGGCUGAAUCCCAGAUCACCUGACUUCUGAUCCUAUGCUGUUGUUUUUUUUUCCCAUUUUUGGAUAUAUUUUACUUCAGAAACUAAAGAUUUUCAGCACCACACCCAUGGAGAAAAAAAAAACAGAGCCAGACAAUAUUUACCAAACAAAGGACUAAAAUCAUAGGAUCAUAGACUUAGAGCUAGAAAGGACCUUAGAGGUCAUUAAAUCCAAUCCUACUCAUUUUAGAAAUGAAGUACCAGAAUGGGAGGGAGAGAAUGAAUGACUUUUCUGAGGUCAAACAGGAUUUGAGUCUAGGGCUUUUUAUUCCAGAUCCAGGGUUCUUUCCACCAUAUCUAAUAGCUUUGCAUCUUCCUCAGGUUAUAUGAACUAUAGUAAAAUUUUCACCUCUCCUCUGCACUCCAGUUCUGGUAGGUUUAAUCUUCCUUCCAUUUUGUUAUAAAUAGGAUACAGAAAUUCCCCUGUUCCAGCCCCAAACCUGUUCACCUUUCUUAACUUCAGGAACAAAAUUAGUCUGGAAUAGUGCAAAAAGCUAAGAGGCAGGAGACUCAGGUUUAAAUCUUGAGUCUGCCAUAUAUUAGCAGUGUGACCUAUUACUGCAGAGGGCAAUAUUAUCUAAAGAAUCCCUUAGACUUACUACCUAGGAGUCAUCUUAGACUCCUCCAGCAUCCAAUAUGUUGCCAAAUAUUGUCAGUUUUAUCACUGCAGUAUUUCUCUUAUAUAUUUCCUUCUCUCCUCUGACACUACUACCACUCUAGUGCAAACCCUCAUCACCUCACAAUUAAAACAACCUGCAGCAGGGUCUGCCUUCCUCAGGUCUUCUCAUUUCAAUCCAUCCUCCAUUCUGCCACUAAUGUAAUUUUCUUAAAACUAGUUCAAUCAUGUCAUGUCCACCCUCUAAUCAAUAAAAUCUAGUGACUCCCUAUUGCCUCCACAAUCAAACACAAAUUUCUUUGACAUUAAAAAUACUUCAUAAGCUAGCCCUCUCUUACCUUUUUAAUCUUCUUACAUUUUACUCUCCUACAUAUACUCUUUGAUCGAGUGAUACUGACCUCUUGACUGUUCCAUAAAUGAGACCCUUCAUCUCUUUGCUCGAAGCAUUUUCUGACCGUACUUCAUGCCUACAACAUUCUCCUUACUUUGCUCUGACUACUGAUCUCUUUGGCAUUCUUCACUUUGAAAUCCCAAAUAAAACCCCUUCCACAGCCCCUCUUAAUUCCAGUGCCUUCCCUCUGUUGAGUAUAUCCUAUUAGCCUGAAUAUUAAUUGCUUUGGCUAUAUUUGUUUGCAUGUUGUCUUCCCUAUUUGAUUAUAAGCUCCUUGAGAACAGGGACUGAUUUUUGCCUCUUUCUGUAUCCUUAGCACCUACUUGAGUACCUACCAGGCACUUAGAUUUUUGAUUGAUUAACUUAAAGCAAGUCACUCUACUUUCCGGAACCUUGGUUUCUUCAUCUGAAGAAAUGAUAGAAUGACAGCUUCAUGAUCUAUUUUAAAGGAAUACUAUAAAAUACCAGUAUUAUUUGUUCUCAUUAUACAACUGAUAGUGAGCACUGAGGAAGUUAGUCUAGAAUCAGAAUGUUUGUCAUUCAUAGGAACAUAGUUAGUCUAGAAUCAAAAUGUUUGUCAUUUAUAGGAACAUAGAUUUACAAUUGAAAGAAAAAUGAGAAACCACAGAAUCCAAACCCUUUAUUUUAGAAACAGGGGACAGUCAUUAAUUUACCCAGAGAAACACAAUCAGUAAGUAUGUGAGGUAGAAUUUGAACUUGGGUCUUCCUAACUCCAAGAUCUGCCUAACUCAAUCCACUAUACCAAGAAUCAAGACAAGCUAAAAUUAGAACCAUUUAAUUAGUCUAAGCUGUUUAUUUGACAGAGUAGGAAAUUGAUCACAUUUCACACAGACUACUGAAAUGGCCUCCUGAUCUGUCUCUUUGCUCAAAUCUCUCAACACUAGUCCAGUUUCCACAAGUUCUGAAGAUGAUUUUCCUGAAACAGAGAUCUGUUUUUUCUCUGCUCAAGAAAUUCCAAUGAUUCCCUCUGGAAGCAAACAUAAAGUCCUCUGUUAGGCAUUUAAAAUCCUUCACACCCACAUAAAAGUAAUGGAAUAUUCCUGUGCUAUAAGAAUUGAUGUGUGUGUUAAAUACAGAGGAAUAUGGAAAGAAAUUUAAGAACUGAUUCAGAGUUAAAUAAGUAGAGCCAAGAAAGCAAUAUACAUGAUAACUAUAAUAAGAGAAAUAAAAGCACACACACCAAAAAAUCAAAAGUGAAUACCACAAAAAUAUAAAAAUCAAGAAAAACUCAUUGAAGAGAUAUGAAAAGACACCUCCAUCCCACACCUUUAUGGAAGUGGGAGGUGUCUACAUCAUACAUGUUUUUUCAGACUUUUUCAUGGUAUUAAUUAGUAGCGCUGAUUUUUUUCCCAGUCUCAAAAAAAAUGCUAUUUGUCAUAAGUGAUCACUCUAGGGUAAGGUAAGGAAGAAGAAUCCUGGGGAUAAUGACAAUGAUAUAAGAAACAGAAAAUAGAAAUAAAAAUGUAUUUGCAAACAUUUUUACAACCUGGUCUUAACCUACCUUUCUGGCCUCAUUUCAUAUUGAACUCUUUCCCUCAUUCUUUGAUCCAGUGACACUGGACUUCUUGCUGUUCCAUACUCAGGACACAAUCUUUUUCUGACUUUGUGCCUUUGCCCAGUCUUUCCCUCAUCCUGGAUAUGAUUUCCUCCUUACCUAUGCCUUUUGGCUUCCUUAGUUUCCUUUUAGACUCAGCUCUCACACCUCCAUCUAGAUGAAGUUUUUCUCCCUCAUUUUGCUGAUAUUUUUGGUACCAAUUUACACAGCUAGUAAAUGGCAGGUCUUCCCAUUUCAAGUCUGUAGCUCUUUUCUAGCCUGACAAAUACCCUGAUGCUGUUUCUCCUGGGAAAACCACACAAAUUGAAAGAGGAGGAAUAAGGAACAAAAGUUGGCACCUGGAGUUAGAAACUUCAGUGGUGGGAAAAUGAAGAUGCUAGGAGCCUGACAAUGAAGCUCUCUGUAUUCUGUCAGUGAUGCAAAGAGAGAAGAGGGAGUGAGGACAGAGAUUAAUAAAACCCACAGAAAGAUACUGGAGAAGUAAUAAAAUGGCAAAGAUCACUGCUGGACUGAAGAAAGGGGAUGAUGAACUUGAGAAGCCAAGCAGAAAGAUACCUUAGUGUUGCAUGCUACUAAUCUAUUCUCUUCCUGGGCAUUCUACUUCAGCUAUUCAGAAAUCUAAGCUUGCUAGAGUUUGAGCUACUCACUCUAGCCAAUUCAAUUCACCUUCUGAGCCUUAGUUUCCUUAUCUGUGAAAGGCUGACUUCUAAGGUCCCUUCCAGCUUUAGAUUUCUGGCCUUAUAGUCCUAAGCCUAAUACUUUGGCAUAUUAUUCAACCAGUCUGUCCCUGCAGCCACCACGGAGUCCCUGUAACAGUGCCUGGCUCCUUUCACCAGGUAUACAGAAGGUACUAACUCUUUUGCUAUAUUCAUUUUCCCUGACCCUUUCUCUCCAAAGGAAUGGUCCAGAAAAACAGGUCAACUACGAAGUCAGGGACUUAGAUUAGAAACACAAAAAACUACCCUAGGAUGUGCAGGUACUAUGGUGUAAGCCUAGGGAAAGAUCCAACCCACCAAAGUCAAAAUGCUAUUGAAGGAAAUUCAGACAAUGCUAUUUAUUACCAAUGCAAGUUAAAUGGACCCUUUCUAAUAGGGAGGAUGAUGAAUUCAAGUACCAUUUCCUUUGUAUGCAUACACCAGACACAAAGGCAUUCACAAGCAGAUCUACUCAUGUAGACAUAAGCUUAUACUUAUUCCCAUAUCCAUAGACAGAUGCCCCCACCUCUCUUUCUCUCUCACACACACACACACACAAACACACAGACACAGACACACAUACACACACACACAUACAUACACACACACACACACACCACACCACACCAUUAUAAAUUUCUAGUUCGAAGGGACUUCAGGGGUCAUUUGGUCAAAGAGAGUAGAAGCAUCUCAUUUUCCAGAGGUGGACAUUCUGAUGUCCACCAGAGAUUUUCAGUAAUUUACCCAGUCGUGAAAGUAAUGAGUAGUAGAACCAGAUUUGAACUCAGGUCCUCUGGUUCUAAAUUCAGUGCUGUUUUCACUGUCAUGAUAUUUAAGCAUGAAUGCCUAAUAGAAAUAAGAGGAACAAUAAUACCUAGUUUGCUUCAAAUUAUGUUGAUUAGGAUCUUCUUUCCACAAUAUUUCCCUCAGUAAUCAACCAUGUUGCCUGUCUGAGAUACCAAACUGAAGGUUUGCUCCUUUAGGUUAGCAGACUGGGGCUGAAAUCCCUCUUUUAAAAAGGAGGCAAUAAAUUUCAUUUUUCUGAGCUUUCAGCUUUCUCAGCUAUAAAAAGGAAGGGAUUGGGUGAGAUCUCUAUCAGUGGCUUUCCUCUCUGAAAUCUAAAAGGAGAGGUCAGUGGAGAUAGGAAUUUUUAAUAAUUAAAUAGAAACAUAAAUAAUGAAGAAACAGGAAUAAUAAUUGGGAAUAGGAACAAUACAUGAGCAAAAGGAAGGAAUCUCCUUUCUGAAUUCCUAGUAACACUAUUGUCAACCCAGAUCCUUUUUAAGAUAAAGCCAAUUACCAGGUAACAUGCUUCUGAAGUCCUUGGUAAUUUAAGACCAAUGAGGGAUCCAUGAAGUACUUUUCAAAGGUGAAAGGACAGAGAAACAAAACUUUUGCCAAAUAAUCUAACCCUUCUCAGGUACUCCAGACAUUUAUCUCUUAGUUGCAUGUGAAAUCUCUCAGCUCUAGAGGUACAAAGGGAAAAUCCCAGGAGACCUGGACUGAGUUUUCUGGUCUGCCACUAACUCCCUAUAUAUACUUAAGUAAGGAAUAGCUUGUCAUUGAUCUUUAAUUUCCUCCUCUGUAAAAUGAGGGUUAAUGUUUUCAUUGACCUCAAAGGUUUUUUUCUAAUUCUACUAUUCUAGACCCUUAUUUCAUUGUCUUUUGUUUAGAAAAGGGAGACAGUACUUUGUGAGAGACCCCAGAGCAGGUGAGUAGUCCUUUCAGAAUCAUUCACAAGGCUAGAAAAUCCCAGGCCACAGGGCAACCUCCUGAGGAUUCCCUCUCUCCAAGACAGACUUGCCUGUCUAACUGUUCUAUCAGUUACAUUUUAUUUUCUCAAAUGUCCUUCUCCAAAGGAAAAAUAAGCACCCUUCUUUGUGCUAGGAAGGAGCUCCAGCAUAGAACUGGACUAUGACCAUGUUCAUGUGUGAACUUGCCCGUUGAAACAAUGAGCUACUUGACUGGAUAACACAUGACCAGAUGGCCAAUAUUAGUCCUGGUCUGGGAUGGUGGGCAUGAACACUCCUGUUUCUUGAUCUGGAGGAGAUCUGGCACCCCAGUUUAUCUUGAAAAUCUUCCAUUUGUAGUCAGAUUUGGAACAGAGAGGGUUGGAAUGAGCUCAAUCACCACACCUUGAUAAUCAUGCCAGCCAGCUCCUCACAUCUGGCCUCAGCAACAAAUUUGGUACAGUGAAGAGUCCUGAGUUGGGAAUAAGAAGACCUGGACUUAAAUCCUACCUCUGUUACUUUUUACCAAAGGGGCUUCAGGCAAGUCACUUAAAUUUUCUGGGUCUCAGUUUUUCAUCUGUAAAAUGACAAAGUUGGACAAAUGUCCCAGGAGUCCAUUUUAGUUCACAUUCUAGUUGUCAAGUUAUGAUUCUCUAACUGAAAAGUUCAGGACCUUCAGUUUUAUAGCUUUUCAACUAACCUGGGGGAAGUAAAGAAACUCCCACCAGGAGUCAGAAGCUAAAGUUGCAAGGUACUUUGUAAUUGUCAGAGCACUUUUGUAUCAUAGAUUAUGAUUAAGUUGAAGACAAGUAAUCAAAAACUUAGGGCCAUUAUGCUUGCCCAGUGUCACAAAAUGGUAAGAAUUGGGGCUCUUGGUUCAUAAUCCAAGAUUUCAUCUACACAAUCACUGUCCCAGAACUGAUCCCUUUUUCUUCUUCCAUUUCCUUAUAUAGCAUCAUAGAUUAAAAAUGAGAAAAGACUUUAGAGGUCACUUAGUGCAGCCCUUUCAUUUUAAAGAUGAAGAAAAUGAGGCCCAAAGGCUCUGCCAGAGUCACUCAGAGAGUAGUAAGAGGAGAAGUCAGAUUUGAAUCCAGGUCCUUUAACUCUCAAUACAGUAAUAUUCCCACUUUGCCUGGCUGCCUCCCUUUUAUAUGUUUUUAAAUCUAUUUUCUACUUCCUUUUAAGGUGGUGGCCAUCCCACUUAUUCAUUUAUUCAUCUAUCCAUCCAUUCAAUGAGUACAUAUUAUGUACCUAUUAUGUGUGAAGCAUUGAAUUUCCAGGACUAAAACUAUUCCCAAAGUCAUAAUUACCCAUACCCUCUCUAAGAUCAAGCAUAAGAAAAUUCUCUUUAAAAGAUGUUCUCUAGAUAGGAAAGCUAGUUCAUAAAAAUCAGCCCUCCUAGACUAGGAGGAGUGCCCCAUCCUGGCAGAAGGACAGUGACCCAGUCAUGCUUCCCUCUCCCUAGUAGACCAGUGCCUCCCAGGCAGUGAAAGUGCAGGGUGUUGACAAGAUUUAACUAAUGAGGAGGGAAGGCUGUCCUAUUAGAAGCAAAAAAACCUUUGUUAACUUCCAACCCUGUCUGGUUGAGUUUUCUUUGGAUUAGCUUGGAACAUAGCUACACAGAAAAACUACAUAGCCAAUAAAAGUCUCCUUUAAACCUGCAUGAACACUAUGCCCUUUGGAAAGAUGUUUAGGCAGGUAGGUGCUCAAUAAUUCAUUCAGAAAAUAUUUAGCUGAGAGCUCAAGGUAUUGGCACCUUAUCAUUUCAAAAUAUUUUGCAGUCAAUGCCAGAAAGAACAACUGGUCUUGGGGAGCUUGCCAUGUUACUAUUGGCAUAGAGCAUUGUAGAGAAAGCCUGGUGGGCAUGGACCGAGGCAGGUUUACAUAUCAAGUAACAGUGCCUUCUCAUGCUACCUAGAAACUGUCUAGACUCAGGCUGGUAGAGUUUGAAAUGACCUUGAAGAUUAUUUAGCCCAGCUCUCUUCAUUUUCCAGACAAGGAAACAGAACCCCAUCAAGAAAGGAAAACUCUUUCCUAAAAUAAACCAAAUAGAGUUAAAGAAUUGGGACUAGAACCUACAUCCUCAGACUUUCAGUUCAGACACUUUUCCAUUAAACUAUUUUAUCUCUAAGACAUUGUUUUUGAAAGGCCAGAUAUGGAAAUUAAUUUUAAGAAAUCAUUGAAUUAUUAGCAUGGUAAUCAAAACAACCAAGGCCUUAAUUCCAGGUACAUCGUCAUAGUGGUCUAGAGAUUGCUGCUUCUAUGCCAGGCCUCAAAGGAGUCAUGGAGGGGAAGUAUAAAACCUGAUCUGGGAGAGGGCAAGGGAAUAGGAUCAUUAAUUUUUAAAUUUUUAAUUUUUAAUUAAUUAAUGUAUUCGUUAUAUUAAAGUUUCUAGAUCUCCCCUUCCCUUUCUCUCCAUUCUACACUGGAGAAGUCAUAAUUUGACUAUACACACACACACACACACACACACACACACACACAUAUAUAAAACUAUGUCAUGUAUGUUCCUGUUUAUCAGUUCUUUCUCUGGAAAUGAAUAUUCAGUUAUUUUUCAAACAAUAUUUUCUGUUGCUCCCCUUAGUUCUACCUGUUUUUCCCUUCAUAAUUUCACGUCCUUCCAUUUAAAAAAAAUUAACCUGCUCAUCAUUUCUUACAUCACAUUAGUAUUUCAUCACAAUCAUAUGCCACAACUUGUUUAGCCAUUCCCCAAUUAAUAGAUAUAGAAUAAUGAAUGAACAGAGGUCAUAGGAAGAGAAGGAGGCUGUCCUCUCUUUCUACAUGUAGGGUCUUCUGUACCCUAUCCCUUUUACAUCUAGCAAAACUUUCCUAGGUAUACCUCAGUUAGCAGCUAUUUCUUUUUCUAUGCUUUUCUUUAUUUAAAAAAAUGCUUACCUUCUAUCUUAAAAUUAACACUAAGUAUUGAUUUCAAGGCAGAAGAACAGUAAGGACUAGGCAAUUGAUGUUAAAGUGACUUGCUCAGAGUCACACAUCUAGGAAGAAUUUGAAGUCAGAUUUGAACCUAGCACCUCCCAACUCCAGGGCUGGCACUCUAUUCACUGGACUACUUAGCUGCCUCCUCUCUUUGAUUUUUCAGGCACUAUUUCCCUGCCCUAAAUCUCCCCUUCCAAACAAACAUAUCAAUUUCACCAUCCCUCAAGCAGUUUGCCCUUCAUGCAUAAUAUACUUUGCAUAUGGUCUCAUAAAAUUUUAGAUCCAGAAGUAAAAGGGACCUACAGAUUUAUUAAGUCCAGUAUCCACCUUUUAGAGGAUUCUUGGAGAGGUUCUAGCUUUUGCGACUACUAAGCCACCAUCUUGACUCCACCCUCUCCACCUUUUAGAAAUGAGGAAGACGUCUAGAGAGUCAAGGGAUUAGGGACUCUUAAGGUCAGUGAUAGAGUCAGGAUUUGUACCCAGUCUGUGACUCCAAAGCCAGAGGUCUUUUCAGUGUUCCAUCCCAGAGUUCUCUAUCCCUUUCUGUCCCCUUAGUUAUUUACACUUAAUUAUGUUCCCUUCACUCGGCAGGCAAUAAUAAACAUCUGCAGAAUGCCUACCCUUUGACCUAGCCAUAACACUGCUGGGUUUGGAAAAUGAGGGGGUGUCCAUCAAUUAGAGAAUGGCUGAAUAAAUUGUCAUAUCUGAUGGUGAUGGAAUACUAUUUUGCUAAAAAGAAUGAUGAACUAAAGUAAUUCCAUGUGAACUGGAAAGAUAUCCAGGAAUUGAUGCGAGGCAAAAGGAGCAGAAACAAGAGAACAUUGUACACAGAGACUGUUACAUUAUGGCACCAUCAAAUGUAAUGGACUUCUCUACUAGCAGCAAUGCAAUGACCUAGGACAAUCCAGAGGAACUUAUGAGAAAAUGCUAUUCACAUCCAGAGAAAGAACUGUGGAAGUAGACACACAAAAGAAAAACAUAUGAACAAUCACAUGGUGCAAUAGGGAUAUGAUUAGGGUUUUGAUGUUAAAGAUCACUCUACUGCAAAUAUGGUUUUGAAUAAUGAUAUAUAUAUAACCCUGUGCAAUUGCUUGUCAGCUCUGGGAAGGGAAAGGGAAGGGGGGCGGGAAUCAUGAGUCUUAUAAGCAUGGAAAAAAGAUUCUAAAUUAAAAAAAAAACUAUUAUGAGCAAAAGGGAAAAAAAUAAAAAACAUCUGCCAAAGACUGAGUUUACAAAGCUUGAGUAGACAUGUGAUGGAAUGCCACCCCAAACCUCAUGGAUCAUUGUGUCAAGGAGGAAAUAGAGGUAACCAAAAACCAAAAGUAUUUCAGGUAUCAAAAAAUGAAAAAAAUGUUUGCAUUUUUCAAAAACAUAGCAAUGAAGACUUUUUAACUAAUUGAAGGUAAAAGUCUCAAAUACAAUGACUAAUAAAUACCUGCCAAAAUGGUUAAAUUAUUUGUUUGUCAAGAUAUUAUCUGCAAUGGCCAACUGUAUUAUGAAUAAGAACAUUAGAAAAUCUUGUUUAAUCUAUCUGAAAUCAUGGGCACUGUAUAGAGCAUUGGAUUAAAGUAAGAUCUGGGUUCAAAUACCAUCCUUACAAUUCAUACCUGUUUUAGUUGGGUAUGUCUUUUAUAUUCUCUGGGCCUCAGUUUCUUCAUCUAUAAAAUGACGGGAUCAGACUAGCUGAUCUCAGCAGUCCCUUCCACUUCUAGAUCUAGGAUCCUUUGAAUUUAAGGUAUCAUAGAUGGUGGACUCUACCAAGGGUAUACAUUUUGCAUACCAACUGUGUUGGAUGGAAAUGGAGAAAUGAACCUAUACAGUCUAGCUGUAUAUGCUGUAGAAGACCAGCCAAACUGUUAUAUAGUGAAAAGGACACUGAAAACCUUCAGUCCAGGUUCUGAUGCAUACAAGGCUGUGAGAUUUUGGAAAAUUCAUUCUCCCCCAUUUUCACCCAUUUAUAAAGUGAUAGCUCUUAUCUAGGUGAUCUCUUGGGUUUCCUUCUGGCUCUAACUUUCUAUAAUAAUCUUGGACCAUUCUUCAAGAAUCUUCAUUCUUCUUAAGUCUUGAAGAAUCUAUUGUUUCAUCAAUUGAGGGAAUGGCUGAACAAGUUAUGUAUAUGAUUAAAAUAAAAUUCUACUAUGCCAAAAGAAA